UACGUAGGGGGCUAGCGUUGUCCGGAAUCAUUGGGCGUAAAGCGCGUGUAGGCGGUUCGGUAAGUCCGCUGUGAAAGUCGGGGGCUCAACCCUCGGAAGCCGGUGGAUACUGUCGGGCUAGAGUACGGAAGAGGCGAGUGGAAUUCCUGGUGUAGCGGUGAAAUGCGCAGAUAUCAGGAGGAACACCAAUUGCGAAGGCAGCUCGCUGGGACGUGACUGACGCUGAGACGCGAAAGCGUGGGGAGCAAACAGG
rnacentral:rRNA from 1 species